UGGCCCUACGGGAGGCAGCAGUCGGGAAUAUUGCGCAAUGGAGGAAACUCUGACGCAGUGACGCCGCGUAUAGGAAGAAGGUUUUCGGAUUGUAAACUAUUGUCGUUAGGGAAGAUAAAAGACUGUACCUAAGGAGGAAGCCCCGGCUAACUAUGUGCCAGCAGCCGCGGUAAUACAUAGGGGGCAAGCGUUAUCCGGAAUUACUGGGUGUAAAGGGAGCGUAGACGGCUGUGCAAGUCUGGAGUGAAAGGCGGGGGCCCAACCCCCGGACUGCUCUGGAAACUGUAUGGCUGGAGUGCAGGAGG
rnacentral:rRNA from 1 species